rnacentral:tRNA from 1 species
AAGGCUUUAAGUUCAAUUAAACUAAUAGCCUUCAAAGCUAUCUAUAUAAGUAAAAAUCUUUUAAGCCUUA